CAUAGGUUAAUGAGGCGAACCGGGGGAACUGAAACAUCUAAGUACCCCGAGGAAAAGAAAUCAACCGAGAUUCCCCCAGUAGCGGCGAGCGAACGGGGAGCAGCCCAGAGCCUGAAUCAGUGUGUGUGUUAGUGGAAGCGUCUGGAAAGGCGCGCGAUACAGGGUGACAGCCCCGUACACAAAAAUGCACAUGCUGUGAGCUCGAUGAGUAGGGCGGGACACGUGGUAUCCUGUCUGAAUAUGGGGGGACCAUCCUCCAAGGCUAAAUACUCCUGACUGACCGAUAGUGAACCAGUACCGUGAGGGAAAGGCGAAAAGAACCCCGGCGAGGGGAGUGAAAAAGAACCUGAAACCGUGUACGUACAAGCAGUGGGAGCACGCUUAGGCGUGUGACUGCGUACCUUUUGUAUAAUGGGUCAGCGACUUAUAUUCUGUAGCAAGGUUAACCGAAUAGGGGAGCCGAAGGGAAACCGAGUCUUAACUGGGCGUUAAGUUGCAGGGUAUAGACCCGAAACCCGGUGAUCUAGCCAUGGGCAGGUUGAAGGUUGGGUAACACUAACUGGAGGACCGAACCGACUAAUGUUGAAAAAUUAGCGGAUGACUUGUGGCUGGGGGUGAAAGGCCAAUCAAACCGGGAGAUAGCUGGUUCUCCCCGAAAGCUAUUUAGGUAGCGCCUCGUGAAUUCAUCUCCGGGGGUAGAGCACUGUUUCGGCAAGGGGGUCAUCCCGACUUACCAACCCGAUGCAAACUGCGAAUACCGGAGAAUGUUAUCACGGGAGACACACGGCGGGUGCUAACGUCCGUCGUGAAGAGGGAAACAACCCAGACCGCCAGCUAAGGUCCCAAAGUCAUGGUUAAGUGGGAAACGAUGUGGGAAGGCCCAGACAGCCAGGAUGUUGGCUUAGAAGCAGCCAUCAUUUAAAGAAAGCGUAAUAGCUCACUGGUCGAGUCGGCCUGCGCGGAAGAUGUAACGGGGCUAAACCAUGCACCGAAGCUGCGGCAGCGACGCUUAUGCGUUGUUGGGUAGGGGAGCGUUCUGUAAGCCUGCGAAGGUGUGCUGUGAGGCAUGCUGGAGGUAUCAGAAGUGCGAAUGCUGACAUAAGUAACGAUAAAGCGGGUGAAAAGCCCGCUCGCCGGAAGACCAAGGGUUCCUGUCCAACGUUAAUCGGGGCAGGGUGAGUCGACCCCUAAGGCGAGGCCGAAAGGCGUAGUCGAUGGGAAACAGGUUAAUAUUCCUGUACUUGGUGUUACUGCGAAGGGGGGACGGAGAAGGCUAUGUUGGCCGGGCGACGGUUGUCCCGGUUUAAGCGUGUAGGCUGGUUUUCCAGGCAAAUCCGGAAAAUCAAGGCUGAGGCGUGAUGACGAGGCACUACGGUGCUGAAGCAACAAAUGCCCUGCUUCCAGGAAAAGCCUCUAAGCAUCAGGUAACAUCAAAUCGUACCCCAAACCGACACAGGUGGUCAGGUAGAGAAUACCAAGGCGCUUGAGAGAACUCGGGUGAAGGAACUAGGCAAAAUGGUGCCGUAACUUCGGGAGAAGGCACGCUGAUAUGUAGGUGAAGUCCCUCGCGGAUGGAGCUGAAAUCAGUCGAAGAUACCAGCUGGCUGCAACUGUUUAUUAAAAACACAGCACUGUGCAAACACGAAAGUGGACGUAUACGGUGUGACGCCUGCCCGGUGCCGGAAGGUUAAUUGAUGGGGUCAGCGCAAGCGAAGCUCUUGAUCGAAGCCCCGGUAAACGGCGGCCGUAACUAUAACGGUCCUAAGGUAGCGAAAUUCCUUGUCGGGUAAGUUCCGACCUGCACGAAUGGCGUAAUGAUGGCCAGGCUGUCUCCACCCGAGACUCAGUGAAAUUGAACUCGCUGUGAAGAUGCAGUGUACCCGCGGCAAGACGGAAAGACCCCGUGAACCUUUACUAUAGCUUGACACUGAACAUUGAGCCUUGAUGUGUAGGAUAGGUGGGAGGCUUUGAAGUGUGGACGCCAGUCUGCAUGGAGCCGACCUUGAAAUACCACCCUUUAAUGUUU
rnacentral:rRNA from 1 species